CACGAUAUGUAAAUCUCGGAGCAGUGGGAGUGGCCGGGUGACGUCACAUAAGAGCGACUCCCCUUCCUCUCACCCUCACACACACAGCUGGGUUGUAACAAAGUACACGUACCUUGUUACUAUACUCAAGUAGUUCCUGGUCUGUUCGGACGGUGCGGCAAGGGACACGAGAGUCCACCCAUGGAGAGGGGCGCUCCCAUUACCGGCUGAUCUGAGAGCAGCGUAAAAGAAGAGCGUAGAGGUUAUCGUAAGGUUACGGAUGGUUGAAUACGGAGGCGGACGAGGAGGCUCAGGUUACCGGCGGACGAGG